UUCAUGACAUUGUAAUGUAUAGAUUUUAUCAACCUUUGCCAGCAGUUAUUCAAACAGAAAGAUAUCCAGGGUUACUUUUUUAUUCUUUUCCAGAGCAUGCAUGCAAGUGUAGCAAUACAGCAUCUAUCAUGCAAUUGCGAUGCCAUGCCACAACCACGUUUCCAAAUGGCCUAUCCCACAAGAAAAGAUCAGCAAGUAACCGCUUAGACAUAUACAAUGACUGACUUCUUUUCUACCUGACGUGCAAUCUUAUCAGAAAACGAAGACAGAAAUUCCUAAGUACAUUCAGAAAACAUGGAGUGAGAGGUGUGUGUACAAAGCCAAUUAAGGAAAGAAUUGCUUUUCGCUGCUUUUUUUCCUGGUGCACUCUUUUGGAAAUUUACCGCCAUAUACUAAUUAACCUCUGGGUGACUUUAUGUAAAUUAGAUGGCAUGUUUUGCAGUGUUGCUGUGGUAGUGUAAAUGUCUUAAAGUUAUAUGAAGUGCUUUGAAGGUAGCCAACAAAGUUUGUUUUUAGUGUGUUACACUACAAGAUGAUAAAAUAGCCAGGCUUUUUUUGGAAUGAGAGAUAGAUGAGAAGAAGAAAAGAUGAGAAGUGAUGUGACAGGUAUUGGGAAGAUACACAGAAUUCUUGGGCCACAUCCCCAGCUUGCUAAACACGGCCAGGACAACCAGCUCAAUGUAGCUGUUCAAAUUGCCAUUAUUUCAGGACCUGGUCUCGUGCACUUAAAUAGAUAUUAAGGAUGCUGACUGAAGGUCUAGAACCCUUGGUGAUCUUGGAGAAGUAAUUUCAGUAACCUCAAUCAGAGACUACCACUUAGGGAAUCAGGCAAUUGAUUUUCCUUAUGCAAUACUGUUCCCUUAUGCGUACUGUGCAAUUAGUUUUCUUGGUGGUCUGGUGCAUUGGGGCAACCAUUUUUUUUUUGUGGGAAAAUUAAUUAAGGGGACAGUGGCUGGAUUUAUAAAGAUUCACUUUUAUGUCAUGAAGAUUUGAGUGCAGAAUUAGCCUUAGGGACCCACUGCUGCCUACAAAUACACAAAUUAUUUGGAGGGACCAAAUUGGUGUUGAGAGAGCCAAAGUAUACAGUGAAGGAAAAUAUACUUCUGAAUGCCCUCUAAAGUGUAUGGCACAACAAAGGUGUCUGACAAUGCCAAUUAGAUCUAUACAUCUGUUUCAGGAUGAAAUGAGCAAGACCCUAAAGAGGAGUCUUUUCCCGUUAGAGAGAGGCAAGAGUGGUUGGUCCUGAUGAAAACACCUGCAGUCUACAUUUAAUCUGAAACAUCCCAGUCUCUCAAGCAAGUGUAUCUAAUAUAGGAAAUUGUGCGAGGAGAUAAGAGAAUUAGGGUAUAUAUCAACUAAGUGCCUGAUGUCUAAUAUUAUUUAUAAAAAAUAAAGUAUUAUACAUUAACACGUGCUUAUUACACACUAUAUUACAUGCCACACAUCUAUCAUUGUUGGGGUACUGACACAUCACAUUUUAAAAUGUGAGCUGCCCCUGGGAAUGAUGGCUAAGGUGCUCUACAUGGGGAGAUAGUACCAGCCUGUGAAUUCCAAUCCUGUGAAGCUGUUUGCUUGCAGCCCACACUUAGGCACUUUAAGUCUUGAGAUGAAGGAAAUGCUACUGUAUAUCUGUUUUCUGUCAUUCUUCUUGGUUAGUUUAAGAGGCCUCCUGCUCAGUACUCUGGUUGUUGUGAAUCUGAGGCACCUAAUUCUCCCCGUGAUAUAUACAGAAUUGAUAUUUCACACUGCAUGUUAUGAAUUCAGUAGUAGGAGCCUAUGAGUUAUGUGUGGGGAAGAUCAGUGCUUGCGUGUAGUUUGUAGAUGUAAAGCCACAUGUCUGUAAGUUAAGCACAGUACCAGCUAGCCUGUAGGCUUGCAGAUUUUGCUGGGUUUUAGCCUGUGAAAUGCUGAAGCAUUUGAAGCAGUGCCAAAUAACUGUCUUGUUCACCACCUAUAUUGAAGAGUGAAUAUUCAGGGUGAGAGAUCUACUUCAUGACAGCCUGGGGAAAAAAAAAAAAAAAGAAGAAUUUCAGAGAAAUAUUAAGGAAAAAAAUCAUAUAAUCAAUUCUAUCAAAAUAGUGUUAUGCAAAGUUGAAUAAUGCUAUUAGAUGCAGGGACAAGUUCUUAGUCUGAAGGAGAGGCAGGCAUGAUUAAAGAAAUGAAGAUGAUGAAGGUGCUUCCUCCUCACAGCACCCUGACCAUCGAAGUCUCCCCAGUUACUCUACUGGGAGAGCAACCUGCUUAAUUUCUUCCCUUCACUCACUUCUUCCUUGGUCAACUGGUUCUUGAGUGAAGUGGGAAUACAUACAAUUCUGGAAGAUGGUGCAGAAAUUUCUGAGAUCCAGCCUUCCUUUGCUGCUUUCUGCCUCUUUUUGGAUGAGAAGAAACACUGAGUCUGCAACACCUUCAACACACAAGGGUCUCUGGCUCGGCAAUGCGCUUUCGAACCUCCUCCCACAGGAGCCUGCAUUUCUUCACAUCAUUUUGGUGGCACAGGCAGGGUCUCCUCCUGGUUCUGGCACUUGGUUGGAGUGAAUAAGGAAGAGCGGAGGUGUGCAAUGUUGGGGCUGUAAGGUGUACUGCAAUCAGCUCCAGGUUGCUGAGGAAGAAAGAAAGAAGAACAAAAAAAAGAAAAGAGAGUGUGUUCAAAAGGAAAUGCAGCAGACUAAGAAAAAGGACGAAGCUGCCUUUUCUCUCUACCCCAAGCUGGCCUCAUGCUCCGGUGUGUUUCCAUGGAGGCUGUUGCUGUCACUGCAUGGCUCAUGCUGGAGUGUCACAUUGGAUGGGAGCCAGCUCAACAAGAGAAAUAAAAGAACAAAGAACUUUGCUGAAUUAAAAACAACUGGAAACAAACCGCAGAACUUCCUGAAAAUAUUUGCUAUACCCAACAUCUGACAAGAAAAGCGUAGAAGAUUGUUAAGAUAAUGUGAGCAAAGAAGACAUCCCAGGUGUUUCAGCUGCCUACAAAGUACAGAAUCAAAGAGUUUGAAGCCAUACCUACUCACCUGAAUGUGCUCUGUUGCCAAGCUGCCUGCAGAACCCUUCUCAGUACCAUGAACAAAACCCAAGUGCUUAUGCAGCAUUUCUUUGCACUUUGAAACUGCCCUUCUGUGUCUCCCUGUGCAAGACUUCCUCUGCAGCUCGUGAAACCUGCACACAGGGAACAAAUCACAAAUGGGCACUUUUGCAGAGAAACAGUGGAGUGCAACAUGACCAGGAGCCACACAGAAAACAGCACAGAGUGAGCUACAAGGGAAGAUGGUCCCACGACAAGUUGCUGUCUUACCAGAUGAGAUGUAGUUACUUUGGUGUUGAUAUAAGAAUUUGAUACACCUCUCUAUGAAGCACUGCUUAAGAGAUCCAUCAUUUUUUGUCGUUUCCUGAAUAACCAAGUAACAUGUAAUUCAAUAUACUGAGCUCAGACAAUGGAAUCAAAUACAAAGCUUAAAAUGAUGUAAGAAGAUUUCUCAGAGUGAUGUUAAGUCCAUAAAUUCAGCUGACAUAGUUUUGAAAGGAAAAUCCAGAGCCACUCGUUCCAUCCCUAGACUUUCAACUGAUAUGCUCUCCACAGCCAGGAGUGCUUUUCUCAAUCUUUUUUCCUUACAGAAAUAUUAACCAAACACUGGAGAGUUGAAAGAACCAGAAUUUUCUUUCACAGAAUGUGUUCAUUGACGAUUUCUUUCUCCCUAUUAACUUUUGCCAGUGUCAGAUUACACUAAAUAAGAAACUGUCCCUCCUGUGAUUCUGGAGCUAUUCUCUUAAAUAAGAUCACAACCCUUCAAUGGCUCCUGCUGAAAGACAGCAACUUUAAAAAAAGUGCAAUCCAAGGUUAUAUGAAGGGCACACAGCUUUCAGAUCAGGGGAGUAGAGCACUAACACUAUGCAGCCCCACUUUCCUAGAACAUGUAUCUUGGCAACAUUGCUAAUCUAAAUCUGGCAAAUUGAAUAUUUUGAUCUCUGUCCCCAGAGACAAACAUACUCUUAUUAUAUUAGAUUAUAAUUUUCGCUCUGAUGCUGAAGUAUUCUCCACUAUACCCUUCAUCAUAUAAGAGAGGCUAUAUUGUGUACACGAUAAGGUUGCCAUUUAGGCCCUGAGCCAGGUGUUCAGGCUUACUCAGGAGAGCGGGCUGAAGGAAACAACUUCCUAAUUGUCAGUCCGAGAAUGAGCAACUGGUUUGUACGAAGCACAGGAAAACACUGAUAUCUACACUACAAAGCUCUGAUCUUCAGACCUGAGGAAUACCACUGUUGAUGUUUGCAAUGAGCUGUGUGAAACAUGGCCAUAUAUCACUUGUACUUCUGUGUAUCAGCUAGACCACUUCGGUUAGUGGCCACCUAGAAGCUGACUAAAAUACCCCAGUGCUUGGCAGCACAGUGCCAUACAUGCAGGCACGCUUUAUAACUAGACUGAAAGAAACGGAAGCUGAAGUCCUCACUCCAAAGAAUUUGCAAUCUAAGGCUUUAUCAUGGCUCUUAGAAAAAGGGGUUCCAGUGUGCUCUCUGCUGGUGAUGCCAUUCCCCAUUUGGAAAAUGAUUGAUUCAUUAUUAUUAUUAAAACAAAACAACAACAACAACAACAAAACAACAAUCAGG